rnacentral:rRNA from 1 species
GACUAACGCUGGCGGCGUGCAUAACACAUUCAAGUCGAACGGAGUGUAGCAAUACACUUAGUGGCGGACGGGUGAGUAACGCGUGAGCAAUCUACCUUCAGGUGGGGAAUAACAACCGGAAACAGUUGCUAAUACCUCAUGACACAAGGACGUCGCAGUGGUGACCUUGUCAAAGGCUUGCUGCCUGAAGAUGAGCUUGCGUCCGAUUUAGGUAGUUGGUGAGGUAACGGCCCACCAAGCCGACGAUCGGUAGCCGGACUGAGAGGUUGAACGGGCACAUUGGAACUGAGAUACGGUCCAG